CCUACGGGAGGCAGCAGUGGGGAAUAUUGGACAAUGGGGGGAACCCUGAUCCAGCCAUGCCGCGUGUGUGAAGAAGGCCCUCGGGUUGUAAAGCACUUUCAGUGAGGAAGAACGCCUGGUGGUUAAUACCCAUCAGGAAAGACAUCACUCACAGAAGAAGCACCGUCUAACUCCGUGCCAGCAGCCGCGGUAAUACGGAGGGUGCGAGCGUUAAUCGGAAUUACUGGGCGUAAAGCGCGCGUAGGUGGCUUGAUAAGCCGGUUGUGAAAGCCCCGGGCUCAACCUGGGAACGGCAUCCGGAACUGUCAAGCUAGAGUGCAGGAGAGGAAGGUAGAAUUCCCGGUGUAGCGGUGAAAUGCGUAGAGAUCGGGAGGAAUACCAGUGGCGAAGGCGGCCUUCUGGACUGACACUGACACUGAGGUGCGAAAGCGUGGGUAGCAAACAGGAUUAGAUACCCGAGUAGUC
rnacentral:rRNA from 1 species